CAAACUGGAGAUGGCGACCGGCGCACGGGUGAGUAACACGUAUCCAACCUGCCGAUAACUCGGGGAUAGCCUUUCGAAAGAAAGAUUAAUACCCGAUGGCAUAAUAGAGCCGCAUGGUUUGAUUAUUAAAGAAUUUCGGUUAUCGAUGGGGAUGCGUUCCAUUAGGCAGUUGGUGGGGUAACGGCCCACCAAACCUUCGGUGGAUAGGGGUUCUGAGAGGAAGGUCCCCCACAUUGGAACUGAGACACGGUCCAAACUCCUACGGGAGGCAGCAUG
rnacentral:rRNA from 1 species